rnacentral:tRNA from 1 species
UAGCUCAGUUGGCAGAGCAUUUAUCUUGCAUACAUGAGGGUCUGGGUUUGAUUCCCAG